UUGUUAACUUAAGUUAAUAAGGGAAAGAUUUAUUGGUAAGAGAUUAGCCUGUAUUGUAUCAGUUAGUUGGUGGGGUAAUGGCCUACCAAGACUAUGACACAUAACUGGUUUGAGAGGAUGAUCAGUCACACUGGAACUGAGACACGGUCCAGACUCCUACGGGAGGCAGCAGUGGGGAAUAUUGCACAAUGGACGAAAGUCUGAUGCAGCAACGCCGCGUGGAGGAUGACACAUUUCGGUGCGUAAACUCCUUUUAUAUGAGAAGAUAAUGACGGUAUUAUAUGAAUAAGCACCGGCUAACUCCGUGCCAGCAGCCGCGGUAAUACGGGGGGUGCAAGCGUUACUCGGAAUCACUGGGCGUAAAGAGCAUGUAGGCGGAUUGAUAAGUUUGAAGUGAAAUCCUAUAGCUUAACUAUAGAACUGCUUUGAAAACUGUUAAUCUAGAAUGUGGGAGAGGUAGAUGGAAUUUCUGGUGUAGGGGUAAAAUCCGUAGAGAUCAGAAGGAAUACCGAUUGCGAAGGCGAUCUACUGGAACAUUAUUGACGCUGAGAUGCGAAAGCGUGGGGAGCAAACAGGAUUAGAUACCCUGGUAGUCCACGCCCUAAACGAUGUACACUAGUUGUUGUG
rnacentral:rRNA from 1 species